AGGCAAGCUAACCACACAGCCAGACCAGCACCUGCUGUAAAAGUUAACUGCCACGCUUCUACCUCAACUCCUAUGGGGCCUGGAUCCUGUAAACUGGGCCAACUCUCAGCAGCUAAAAAUUAAGGAGUUUCUGUACAAGCUGGUUUGAAGAUUUACAACAGAGGACAGGAAUCAAGUCAGGAAGUGACUUGGAGUAUCAGUACAGAGCUUCUCCUUUGAUCCAAAACUUGAGUACUGUUCAUCCAGCUAUAAAUCUGUACAUGUCCUGUUGCACUGGGAUAU